AUGCCGCCCUACGGAACUGACCACCGCGCGUCUUACCUCGCCUCGAAGUCGCCCGUGCUCAGAGCCAUUGGUCAACCUCAUGCAGGUGGUCCACACUACUGACGAAGGGCUGACAGGUGCGCUACGGAACAGGGAGGCGCACGUGGACGGCAGACGGUACCUGGAGCAGGCCAUCACACACGGUUACCUGAAUGAGAGGGGCAAGGAACUGCUGUACCUAGGCAGGGAGAUCAUCUUCCCGAGCCCCGCAGCCUUCCCCGUGCCCCACGACGCCCCAUACCUGACGCACUUCAACCACAUCAUAUGGCAAUGCGUAGAGGCCGGUCUGCAAGACAAGUGGUACCGAGACACACUGACGGAGGCAAAGAGAGAGUCCAGGCAGAAGUUGCGGCAAGAGAAGAGGAAAGAGGAAGAGGCAAGAGGGAAAGAAACGAAAGGAGAGGAGAAAGAGAGUGGGCCAGCGCCUCUCACAGUCCUCUCAUCUACAAGGCUUCUUUCUCCUGUUCUCCCUCGGCCUCCUCCUUGCCGGGGUCUCCUUCCUGCUGGAGAUCCUACACUUCUAUGUUCAUGGAAAGACUUCUCUCUCUCCCUCCUCCUACAUCUCCUCCUCUUCAUCAGCCUUUUUCUCCUCUCCGUCAUUUUCCUUGUAUUCAUUGUCCUCCUCCUCCUUCUCCUCCGAAAUCACAUUAAGUUACAUUUCUUCCUCUCUUUCGUCAGCAUGAAGAAAUUAAAAGAUCAUAAACAU